UACGUAGGCGGGAAAUUAAGUCAGUAGUGAAAUCCCACAGCUUAACUGUGGUACUGUUAUUGAUACUGGUUUUCUUGAAUAUAGUUGAGGUAGGCGGAAUGUGUAAUGUAGCGGUGAAAUGCUUAGAUAUUACACAGAACACCGAUUGCGAAGGCAGCUUACUAAACUAUGAUUGACGCUGAGGUACGAAAGCGUGGGGAGCGAACAGGAUUAGAUACCCUGGUAGUCC
rnacentral:rRNA from 1 species